rnacentral:rRNA from 1 species
UGGGGAAUAUUGCACAAUGGGGGAAACCCUGAUGCAGCGACGCCGCGUGAGCGAAGAAGGUUUUCGAAUCGUAAAGCUCUGUCCUAUGAGAAGAUAAUGACGGUAUCAUAGGAGGAAGCCCCGGCUAACUACGUGCCAGCAGCGGCGGUAAUACGUAGGUCCCGAGCGUUGUCCGGAUUUAUUGGGCGUAAAGCGAGCGCAGGCGGUUAGAAAAGUCUGAAGUGAAAGGCAGUGGCUCAACCAUUGUAGGCUUUGGAAACUGUUUAACUUGAGUGCAGAAGGGGAGAGUGGAAUUCCAUGUGUAGCGGUGACAUGCGUAGAUAUAUGGAGGAACCCCGGUGGCGAAAGCGGCUCUCUGGUCUGUAACUGACGCUGAGGCUCGAAAGCGUGGGGAGCUAACAGG